rnacentral:lncRNA from 1 species
AUUGCGCUCGGUUUUGUGUCAUGUCCUCCGUUAGAUCCAAGUACUAUAAGUCUUUUCUUAGGGUCUCUUCCAAAGUUUUCCUAGGUCUUCCUCUACCCCUUCGGCCUUGAACCUCUGUCUCGUAGUCACAUAUUCGAACCAGAGCGUCAGUAGGCCUUCUUUGCACAUGUCCAAACCACCGUAACCGAUUUUCUCUCAUCUUUCCUUCAAUUUCGGCUACUCCUACUUUACCUCGGAUAUCCUCAUUCCUAAUCUUAUCCUUUCUCGUGUGCCCACACAUCCAACGAAGCAUCCUCAUCUCCGCUACACCUAUUUUGUGUACAUGUUGAUGCUUCACCGCCCAACAUUUUGUGUCAUACAGCAUCGCCGGCCUUUUUGUCAUCCUAUAAAAUUUUCCCUUGAGCUUCAAUGGCCUACGACGGUCACACAACACACCGGAUGCACUCUUCCACUUCAUCCAUCCAGCUUGUAUUCUAUGGUUGAGAUCUCCAUCUAAUUCUCCGUUCUUUUGCAAGAUAGAUCCUAGGUAGCGAAAACAGUCGCUCUUUGGUAUUUCCUGAUCUCCAAUCCUCACCCCUAACUCAUUUUGUCUUCCAUUUGCACUGAACUUGCACUCCAUAUAUUCUGUCUUUGAUCGGCUUAGGCGAAGACCUUUAGAUUCCAACACUUCUCUCCAGAGGUUAAGCUUCACAUUUACCCCUUCCUGAGUUUCAUCUAUCAACACUAUAUCGUUUGCGAAAAGCAUACACUAAGGAAUAUCAUCUUGAAUAUGUCAUGUUAACUCAUCCAUUACCAACGCAAAAAGGUAAGGACUUAAGGAUUGUUGAUGCACAAAAUGAGUGAGGAUUUUGGUACAACAGAAAAAAUUAAGUUUGUGAUCUUCGCUAGAUUGCUCCUGUCAUUAGUGUGGAUAAGUAUGUAAAUGGAUAGAGACAGGGAAACAAACACAAGAUGUACGUGUUUCACCCAGAUUGGCUACGUCCAUGGAGUAGAGGAGUUCUCAUUAAAUGUGAAGGGUUUACACAAGUACAUAGGUUCAAGCUCUCCUUUAGUGAGUACAAGUGAAUGAUUUAGUACAAAUGACACUAGGAAAUAUUGUGGGAGAAUGAUCUCGUAAUCACAAAACUUCUAAGUACCGAAGUGUGGUAUCGUCUUCACUUGCCUUAUCUGUCUCAUAGGUAGAUGUGGCAUCUUCUCUGGAAGUACUCUUAUUCCAUCCAGGGGUGGUAUCUUUAACUAGUGGAGAUGCACAAGGUAAUGUAUCAAUUUCACUUGAAGCUUACUUGUAGUUUCAGGUUUGGUCAAGCGCGAUACAAACCAUGUAGUAGGAGUCCCCCAAGUCGCCGAGCUAGGGGAUCUGCUGAAAGAGGUGACAGACAAGGUAAGCAAUCAGAGCUCCAAGCAAUCAGUGCCAGAUCAGAAGUUUGAUUUCGAGUUCCGGCUGAUUGUUCUCAUUCUCCCUAUCUUGCAGGCAGCAUGAAGGAUAAAGAGAAGAAAAAGAAGAAUAGAUGAUAUGAGAUACUUUUGCUUUCGAAGAAGUAACUUUCCACAGGCUUAUUCUUGAACUAGGCUGGAGGGUUUUCUGGUUUCUGCCAGAGUAUAAGGCCAACUGAAGAAUUUGAGGGUCAAAACAAGUCCAUCAAAUCUAGAGUACGUUCGACCAUGCUGAUAUGAGAUACUUUUGUUGUUGACAAAGUAAUGGAUGUAUCGGCACGUGUUUUGUUACGCUUGUCUCCACAUGCUUCCUUGUAUCCUUCUCACUUACCCUAUAUGUUCCUCAGGCAGAUGUGGUAUCUUCUCUGGAAGCAUAAGAUGUUGAAGAUGAGUACUCGAGAGCAAUGCCAGGUAAGUAAUCAGGUAAGGGGUUCCAAGCAGUCAGUUCCUGACUGGAAGCUUGAUUCCAAAUGCUGACUAAUUGCUCUCUUUCUCCUUGUCUUGCAGGUAAGAACAAGGCCAAAGGAAAAGACAGGGAAAAAACAUGAUAUGGGAUACUCUUGCUUUUAACCCUGAUGAUAUGAGAUAUUCUUGCUCUGGUGUAGCUUGUUUGUAGAGGUAUUAUCGGGGGAAAAGAAAGCUGAGUAUUUCGAGAGGCUUCGUUGGGAGUGCCCUCUCAGAUAUGAGGAAGGGUUGAGCAUUUUUGCAAGUCUUCCUGUCCGUUAAGGAUGAAGGUCGCCAUAUAUAGGAGUCUCCCUAACAACAAGUAGUAAUGUUAUUCCUUUACCCUGCUUGGUCAUAGCACCGUAGUGGGAGCUGCCAGCUUCACGUGUUUUAACUCUGUCAGAGCACUUUGAAAAAAUGGUCUGUGGUAUUUGGGAAGCUGAUGUUGCGUGUGAAGAUUACAAACAAGCUUUAUCCAAGGAAAUCUGGCUCUCGAAGUUGAGAAAGCGGUGCCUCUUUGAUUUUUGAGAAAGCAAUCCUGCUGGGAGUCUGGCUCUCGAGAUUCGGAGAGCGAUGUCUCUUCGAUUUUUGAGAAAAUAAUCAUGUUAGGAGUCUGGCUCUCGAGAUUCGGAGGACGGUGCCUCUUCGAUUUUGGAGCAAGCAAUCUGGUUGGGAGUGUUUUCUCGAAUGUGAGUAUAGGUUGGGCAUGUUUGCUAGUCUACCUUGCCACGGAGCACAGAGGUUGACACACAGGGACUUUCCAAUUAUCCAGCAGUGGUGUUGUUCCUUUACCUUUGUGGGUAAUAAUAUGGUAGCUAGACCUUCAAAAUUUAUGUGUCUAAACUUUGUUAGUGCUGUUUCUUUGCUAUUCUUUUACCCUUCUUGGUCAUAGCGAUGUAGUGGAAGCUGCAAGCUUCACGUGUCUAAACUUUGUCAGAGAUCUUUGGCAAAGUUAUAUGUGGUACCCAUGAGCUGAUGUUGCGUGUGGAAAGUGGAUGAUUGAACAAUAAGAUUCACGUGCUUUCUACUUCACCAGAAAUCUUCGACAGAAUGCCCGUAAUUUCUACAAAGCUGAGUGUGCAUGUGACAGGUGCUGACAAGGCUGAAAAAGCAGGUGCCUCUACGAUUUCUGAGAUCGGCCCUCGUGGUAUCUGAGCAGCCCAGCUUUUGAGAAAGCAGACGCCUCUUCGAUUUCUGAGAUCGGCCUUCGUGGUAUUUGAGCAGCCCAGCUUUUGAGAAAACAAAAGCGUCUUCAAUUUCUGAGAUCGGCCAUCGUGGUCUCUGAGCAGCCCAGCUUUUGAGAAAGGAAACGCCUUUUCGAUUUCUGAGCAGGCGCCUCUUCGAUUUCUAAAGCUCCGUCGAGUGCAGAUUUUUAUAGAGGUUGGCAUUAAGUUCCAAAGCACACUUGAAUCUCCACCAGUAGAAGCUCCCUUCUUGCACUUCUAAGAUCUUAAUUUGUCCGACCUCUUCUCUCUUCAACACCUUUGAAAAUGUAUGGCCCCUCCGACCGUCGUUUUGACUUGAACCUUGUUGAAGAGGCAGCCAUGCCUUCUCCAGAAAACAUAUGGCGCCCAUCCUUCUUAUUCCUUACUGGUCCUCUUACCGUUGGGGAUUCCAUGAUGAAGAAUGAUAUGACCGCUGCGGUGGUGGCCAGGAACCUUCUCACUCCCAAAGAUAACAGACUACUUUCCAAACGGUCUGAUGAGUUGGCUGUUAAGGAUUCUCUGGCUCUCAGUGUUCAGUGUGCAAGUUCUGUGUCUAAUAUGGCCCAACGCCUAUUUGCUCGAACCCGCCAAGUUGAAUCAUUGGCGGCUGAAGUGAUGAGUCUCAAAUAGGAGAUUAGAGGGCUCAAGCAUGAGAAUAAACAGUUGCACCAGCUCGUACAUGACUAUGCUACAAACAUGAAGAGGAAGCUUGACCAGAUGAAGGAAUCUGAUGGUCAGAUUUUCCUUGAUCAUCAGAGGUUUGUGGGUUUGUUCCAAAGGCAUUUAUUGCCUUCGUCUUCUGGGGCUGUACCGCGUAAUGAAGCUCCAAAUGAUCAACCUCUGAUGCCUCCUCCUUCUAGGGUUCUAUCCAGUACUGAGGCUCCGAAUGAUCCCCCUCCGGUGCCUUCUCUUUCUGGGGCUCUACCAACUGCUGAGACUUCUCCUAAGCAACCUUUGUGAAGGUUCCCUCUUGUUUGUUUAUUUUGACUCAUGUAUAUGUACAUAUUUGUAACUUAUCGGAGAUAUCAAUCAAUAAGCUUUGCUUCAUUUCAACGUAUUGUGUUAAAUACACCAAAGCCUUCUUCACUAAGUUCUUUGAAUUUUUCUUUUGUUAAAGCUUGUAUGUUGAAGCUUUGUGAAUGGAGCAUGUAGGUUGAGGUAGUAUUCCCUUAAUUUCCCGAGUAAGGAAAACUUCUCGAUUGGAGACUUGAAAUAUCCAAGUCACUGAGUGGGGUCGGCUAUAUGAAUCUUAGAACGCCAUUGUGCUCGGUCCUGUGUCAUGUCCUCCGUUAGAUCCAAGUACUCUAAGUCUUUUCUUAGAGUCUCUUCCAAAGUUUUCCUAGGCCUUCCUCUACCCCUUCGGCCCUGAACCUCUGUCCCGUAGUCGCAUCUUCUAACCGGAACGUCAGUAUGCCUUCUUUGCACAUGUCUAAACCACCGUAACCGAUUUUCUCUCAGCUUUCCUUCAAUUUUGGCUACUCCUACUUUACCUCGGAUAUCCUCAUUCCUAAUCUUAUCCUUUCUCGUGUGCCCACACAUCCAACGAAGCAUCCUCAUCUCCGCUACACCCAUUUUGUGUACGUGUUGAUGCUUCACAGCCCAACAUUCUGUGCCAUAUAGCAUCGCCGGCCUUAUUGUCGUCCUAUAAAAUUUUCCCUUGAGCUUUAGUGGCAUACGGCGGUCACACAACACGCCGGAUGCCCUCUUCCACUUCAU